UUCCGGUUGAUCCUGCCGGAGGUUACUGCUAUUGGAAUCCGAUUAAGCCAUGCGAGUCGAUCGGGUUUAGACCCGAGGCACACUGCUCAGUAACGCGUGGAGAAUCUGCCCUUAGGUGAGAGAUAACCUCGGGAAACUGAGAAUAAUAUCUCAUAGGUUAUGAAUGCUGGAACGCUUCAUAGCUAAAAGCCCUGGCGCCUAAGGAUGACUCUGCGGACUAUCAGGUAGUAGUCAGGGUAAUAACCUGACUAGCCUACGACGGAUACGGGGUGUGAGAGCACUAGCCCGGAGAUGGAUUCUGAGACACGAAUCCAGACCCUAAGGGGUGCAGCAGGCGCGAAACUUCCGCAAUGCUCGCAAGAGUGACGGAGGGAUUCCAAGUGCCUAUGCAAUGCGUAGGCUGUUCUCAUGUCUAAAUAACAUGGGGAGUAAGAGCUGGGUAAGACGGGUGCCAGCCGCCGCGGUAAUACCUGCGGCUCGAGUGGUAACCACUAUUAUUGGGCCUAAAGCGUCCGUAGCCGGUUUAGUAAAUAUCUGGGUAAAUCGUGAGGCUUAACUUCACGAAUUUCGGAUAGACUGCUAGACUUGGGACCGGGGGAGGUCAGAGGUACUCCAGGGGUAGCGGUGAAAUGUUGUAAUCCUUGGAGGACCACCGGUAGCGAAGGCGUCUGACUAGAACGGGUCCGACCGCUGAGGGACGAAGCCCUGGGGCGCAAACCGGAUUAUAUAUCCCGGGUAGUCCAGGCGUAAACGCUGCUUGCUUGAUGUUAGUUGGGCUCCGAGCCCAAUUAGUGUAGAGAGCAGUUGUUAGCAAGCUGCCUGGCAGUACGGUCGCAGACUGAACUUAAGGAUUGGCGGGGGAGCACUGCAUCGGUGGAGCGUGCAGUUUAUGAUCACGCCGGU
rnacentral:rRNA from 1 species